rnacentral:rRNA from 1 species
UACAGAGGGUGCGAGCGUUAAUCGGAAUUACUGGGCGUAAAGCGUGCGUAGACGGUUAUUUAAGUCGGGUGUGAAAGCCCCGGGCUCAACCUGGGAAUUGCAUUCGAGACUGAAUAGCUAGGGUACGGUAGAGGGAAGCGGAAUUUCCGGUGUAGCGGUGAAAUGCGUAGAGAUCGGAAGGAACACCAGUGGCGAAGGCGGCUACCUGGCCUAAUACUGACACUGAGGCACGAAAGCGUGGGGAGCAAACAGG